rnacentral:rRNA from 1 species
CCUCAAAUCAGGUAGGACUACCCGCUGAACUUAAGCAUAUCAAUAAGCGGAGGAAAAGAAACUAACAAGGAUUCCCCUAGUAACUGCGAGUGAAGCGGGAAAAGCUCAAAUUUAAAAUCUGGUGGUCUUUGGCCAUCCGAGUUGUAAUCUAGAGAAGUGUUACCCGUGUCGGACCGUGUACAAGUCUCCUGGAAUGGAGCGUCAUAGAGGGUGAGAAUCCCGUCUUUGACACGGACUACCGAGGCUUUGUGGUGCGCUCUCAAAGAGUCGAGUUGUUUGGGAAUGCAGCUCAAAAUGGGUGGUAAAUUCCAUCUAAAGCUAAAUAUUGGCGAGAGACCGAUAGCGAACAAGUACCGUGAGGGAAAGAUGAAAAGAACUUUGGAAAGAGAGUUAAACAGUACGUGAAAUUGCUGAAAGGGAAACGCUUGAAGUCAGUCGCGUUAGCCGGAAAUCAGCCUUGCUUCUGCUGGGUGUAUUUUCUGGUUGACGGGCCAGCAUCAGUUUUGACCGGUGGAAAAAGUCUAGAGGAAUGUGGCAUCUUCGGAUGUGUUAUAGCCUUUGGUCGUAUACAUCGAUUGGGACUGAGGAACUCAGCACUUGUGCUUAGGAUGCUGGCAU